rnacentral:rRNA from 1 species
UGAGGAAUAUUGCGCAAUGGGGGCAACCCUGACGCAGCGACGCCGCGUGAGUGAGGAAGGCCUUCGGGUCGUAAAGCUCUGUCAAAGGGAAAGAAAUGUAUAAUGGCUAAUACCUGUUAUAUUUGACGGUACCCUUAAAGGAAGCACCGGCUAACUCCGUGCCAGCAGCCGCGGUAAUACGGAGGGUGCAAGCGUUGUUCGGAAUCACUGGGCGUAAAGGGCGCGCAGGCGGUUUGGUAAGUCAGAUGUGAAAGCCCACGGCUUAACCGUGGAAGUGCAUUUGAAACUGCCAGACUUGAGUAUCAGAGGGGAAAGUGGAAUUCCCGGUGUAGAGGUGAAAUUCGUAGAUAUCGGGAGGAAUACCGGUGGCGAAGGCGACUUUCUGGACGGUUACUGACGCUGAGACGCAAAAGCGUGGGGAGCAAACA